rnacentral:rRNA from 1 species
GGCGUAAGCCAGGUCGGUUUCUAUCUUUAAUAAAAUAAAAUAUUUUAGUACGAAAGGACCAAAUAUUUAAUAUAUUUAUAUUUUAUUUAUUGAAUAUUAUUAAUUUA